UCUCCGUUGGUGAACCAGCGGAGGGAUCAUUACAGGAUCGAAAGACUCCUAUAACCCCUGUGGACUUACUACAAAUACGUUGCUUCGGCGGGUGCCCCGGGUCUCCCGGGGCGUUCAGCCCGCCGGCAGCCUUCAAAUUCUGUUUCUUUGCGUUGGCAUCUCGAGUAUACAAAAAUAAGUUAAAACUUUCAACAACGGAUCUCUUGGUUCUG
rnacentral:misc_RNA from 1 species